UUCAUGAUCUGACUAUCUUGCAUGUGUUGAUUUGGAACAUGUUCGUUCAUGGUUUUGAUUGUUCUGCUGAUGUUUGUCAAUCAAUGACUUCAUUUCUACAACAUAUAUAUCUGUGAGGUCUUGAAUUGUACAGCACUCUAUGAUGUUCUAGUUGGACCCAAGAGCCUCGUUGAUUUACGCCUUGCUAUUAUUCAAGAAUUUGCUGCUAGAAGGAACCACCAUUUACUGCCCAAAUCAGUUUUUGAGGACUGGUAUUAGAUGAUGCAUUCUUAUGACUUGUGAAGAUCUUCAGCACUUUUCGAUUCUGAUGCUCAUUUUUUGGUCCUUUUACCAUCAUAUGUUUCUUCAAAGAGGCUUUGGAGCAUCAUGUAUGCAAACUAGAUAUCAUGAUUCAUUGCAGUUGAAAAUAGAAAAUGCUUGACAAGAGCUCCUUUAUGUUCUUGAUGUUACUUGAUGGUACCUUAAUUACAUGUGUGAAGGGAAACCAUUCCUCUGUCAAAAUAUAUUAUAUGUAUAUGUUGGAUGCAUGAGAAAGAUGCUCAACAAUAGCUCACUUAUGUUGGAUGUAUGUUAGCUUUGUUUUCUAUCAUCCAGCUACCAGCUGGUAAACCUUGUAUAUUAGAUUUUAUUAACUAGUGGGUUGUUGGUUUUCUCAUUUUGUCACAAAAACUGCAUCUAAGUGCAUUAUGGCUCCUGCACAAGUUGAUCUUUUAAGGGUCAUUGUCUUCUGGAGAAGAUAGUUCAUUUCUGGAUACGGACCAAGAGUAUAUUAGUGAUCUUGGAUGAUAUCUAAGCAGUUCCACCACAUCAUGGUAUUCCAGACAUUGAUUUUUUACUCUUACCUAAUUGAAUGGGUAAACUUCAGAUUUUGCUAAUUUUUGACCAGGCAAUUUCUGGAACAGAUACAGGAAUGGUUCUUUGUUCCUUUUUUUUUUUCUUCUUAUUUCGGGCAAAUUGAGUAUGUUUUUAGCUAAUGUUUGAUACUAUAUCAUUCACAGAAAGUAGUAAAUUUUUUUUCUUUUUACUUUGUAUUUGAGCAUGUAUCAAAUAAAAUUGUCUGAUGGAAGCAUCAUUUUGGUUUCUCUUUUGUUAUUUGAAGUCCUUUUUGUUAAUUGAUUGAGUCAUAUCUGUUGUUAUAUCUUCUCAAAUUUUGAGGUAAUUCUUUAAUGAAAUGUCUAAUAAUGGCCGCAGGUACACUCUUCAGUGUUCUGAGUUCUCUGUUGCCCAGUAUAAUGGGGUGCCAGGAAGCUCUGAUUUACAGUAAGGCCUUAAUUAAAAAAAGAGAGAA